CUUGAGGGCGCCGACCAGCAGCGGGGUGUCGUCCGCCCGUUCCUGGCCGUAGGUGGCGAGCAGCGCCUGCGCCUC
rnacentral:antisense_RNA from 1 species